rnacentral:rRNA from 1 species
UGCCAGCCGCCGCGGUAAUACGGAGGGUGCAAGCGUUGUCCGGAUUUAUUGGGUUUAAAGGGUGUGUAGGCGGAUUUUUAAGUCAGUGGUGAAAACUCUAGGCUCAACCUAGAACCUGCCAUUGAUACUGGAAGUCUCGAGUUUAGAUGAAGUAGGCGGAAUAUGUCAUGUAGCGGUGAAAUGCGUAGAUAUGACAUAGAACACCGAUAGCGAAGGCAGCUUACUAAUCUAUAACUGACGCUGAUGCACGAAAGCGUGGGUAGCGAACAGGAUUAGAUA